rnacentral:lncRNA from 1 species
AGAAACACCUGACGAACGCGGCUGUGCUUCCUGUGCUCCGUGCCCCAGCCUUAGUCUCCUCGGUGGGUGAGUGUCCGCAGGUGGAGCCGGUCUCCAUCCACGGCCGGAGUGUUGAGGAAUAUCAGCAAAUCUACAACAGUGUGAUGGGCUCCACCAUCCAGAAGAGACGUCGUGGCCGGUACAACCUACAACAAGGUCUCGAGAUCAAGCAGCGGCUGUGGGAGAAGCUGGGCCGGCCUGCACUCCUGGAAACCGUGCAGCCUGAUGGACGAGUGUUCAUCACAGAGGUCAGAUCCAAGUCCAGCGUUGCUCCUCAAAUCACGGUGGACAUCAGUGAGGAGCCACUGCCCAAGGAGCCCCCAAGGAAGAAGCCCAGGCACUGAGUCAUCCUAGUGCCAGAUGAAAGAUCAUGGGCACUAAUGCUGGUUAUUAAAGGAUACAGAAGGACAGACGUGACGCUAUACAUCUACAUGAAAGAGUCAUAAGGAUAGAUUAUGAAAGCUGUAUGCUGCAG